rnacentral:rRNA from 1 species
ACAACAGGUGGAGCCUGCGGUUUAAUCGGACUCAACGCCGGGAAACUCACCAGAUAAGACAGCUGAAUGAUAGUCGGGCUGAAGACUCUACUUGACUAGCUGAGAGGAGGUGCAUGGCCGUCGUCAGUUCGUACUGUGAAGCAUCCUGUUAAGUCAGGCGACGAGCGAGACCCACGCCAACAGUUGCCAGCUCGUCCUCCGGGAUGGUGGGGACACUGUUGGGACCGCUCUGCUAAAGAGGAGGAAGGAAUGGGCAACGGUAGGUCAGCAUGCCCCGAAUUAUCUGGGCUACACGCGGGCUACAAUGGGUGGGACAAUGGGUAUCGACACCGAAAGGUGAAGGCAAUCUCCUAAACCCGUCCGUAGUUCGGAUUGUGGGCUGCAACUCGCCCACAUGAAGCUGGAAUCUGUAGUAAUCGUGUCUCAAAAUGGCACGGUGAAUAUGUCCCUGCUCCUU